rnacentral:rRNA from 1 species
AGCAGCCGCGGUAAUUCCAGCUCCAAUAGCGUAUAUUAAAGUUGUUGCAGUUAAAAAGCUCGUAGUUGAAUUUCGGGAUUUGUCAGUUGGUCGGGCUUCACUGUCCGUAUUGACUUGAUGGAUUCUUACCUUCUGAAUAACCAGCAUGCUAUUAAUUUAGUGCGUUGGGGAAGCAGAUCUAUUACCUUGAAAAAUUAGAGUGCUUAAAGCGAGCUAGUGCUUGAAUAGAUUAGCAUGGAAUAAUAAAAUAGGACGGCAUGGUUCUAUUUUGUUGGUCUCUAGGAUCACCGUAAUGAUUAAUAGGGAUAGUUGGGGGCAUUAGUAUUCAAUUGUCAGAGGUGAAAUUCUUGGAUUUAUUGAAGACUAACUUCUGCGAAAGCAUUUGCCAAGGAUGUUUUCAUUGAUCAAGAACGAAAGUUAGGGGAUCGAAGACGAUCAGAUACCGUCGUAGCCUUAACCAUAAACUAUGCCGACUAGGAAUCGGACGAUGUUAAUUUAUAAUGACUUCGG